rnacentral:snoRNA from 1 species
AGGGCACCACUAUGAUGAGAUGAUGUUGGUAGGGACAUCUGAUACUUGAUGAUAAUCCAACAUCCUGAGUGUUAAUCUGGCCCU